AAGUCGUAACAAGGUUUCCGUAGGUGAACCUGCGGAAGGAUCAUUAUCGAAAAAAAGAUUAAAGAUAAACUUGACUGUUUGUCUUUAAAAUAUUCUUUUAUUCUUGUCCACUGUGUGAACUUUUUUACUAUCGGGCGGCCAAGGGUAUUUAGUUGCCCAGCCGGUCGAGACGCAGAGUUUAUUCUCUCGUCGAAUUACCCAUUUUUUUUUUUAAAAUGCCAAUGUCAAUAACAUGAAUGUGUGUGAUAUAUAUAAAUCAUUUAAAACUUUCAGUGACGGAUCUCUUGGCUCUC
rnacentral:misc_RNA from 1 species